GGUCGCGUGGCCGAGUGGCUAGGCAGCGGUCUGCAAAACCGUCUACGGCGGUUCGAAUCCGCCCGUGACCU
rnacentral:tRNA from 1 species